rnacentral:SRP_RNA from 1 species
GCCGGGCAUGGGACUGCAUGCCUGUAGUCCCAGCUACCUGGGAGACUAAAGCAGGAAAAUUGCUUGAGUCCAGGAGUUUGAGGCCACAGUGAACUAUGAACAUGCCACUGCACUCUAGCCUGGGCAAUAGGCAAUAGAGUGAGACCCUAUCUCAAAAAAAAAAAAAAUUCACCAUCAAUAUGUUGACCUCCCAGGAGCAGGAGACCACUAGGUUGCCUAAGGAGAGGUGAAUUGGCCCAGGUCAGAAAAAGAGCAGGCCAAAAAUCCCAUGCUGAUGUGUAGUGGGCUAACACUUGUGAAGCCACUGUGCUCUACCCUGGGCAAUAUAACAAGACCUCAUUUCU